rnacentral:rRNA from 1 species
AUUGAACGCUGGCGGCAGGCCUAACACAUGCAAGUCGAACGAGUGGCGGACGGGUGAGUAAUGUCUGGGAAACUGCCUGAUGGAGGGGGAUAACUACUGGAAAGAGUGGCUAAUACCGCAUACUAUUGGAGCGGCCGAUAUCGGAUUAGCUAGUUGGUGGGGUAAAGGCUCACCAAGGCAACGAUCCGUAGCUGGUUUGAGAGGACGAACAGCCAUACUGGGACGUAGCAACGGCCCAGACUCCUACGGGAGGCAGCAGUGUGGAAUUUUGGACAAUGGGGGAAACCCUGAUCCAGCCAUCCCGCGUGUAUGAAGAAGGCCUUCGGGUUGUAAGGUACUUUCAGCGAGGAGGCGUUACUCGCAGAAGAAGCACCGGCUAACUCCGUGCCAGCAGCCGCGGUAAUUC